CAGUCGCCGCGGUAAUACGGAGGGAGCUAGCGUUAUUCGGAAUUACUGGGCGUAAAGCGCACGUAGGCGGCUUUGUAAGUUAGAGGUGAAAGCCCGGAGCUCAACUCCGGAACUGCCUUUAAGACUGCAUCGCUUGAAUCAUGGAGAGGUCAGUGGAAUUCCGAGUGUAGAGGUGAAAUUCGUAGAUAUUCGGAAGAACACCAGUGGCGAAGGCGGCUGACUGGACAUGUAUUGACGCUGAGGUGCGAAAGCGUGGGGAGCAAACAGGAUUAGAUACCCCCGUAGUCCCUGUCUCUUAUAC
rnacentral:rRNA from 1 species